rnacentral:rRNA from 1 species
CCCCUAGAUGUUCUGGGCCGCACGCGCGCUACACUGAACAGUUCAACAAGUCUUAACCUUGGCCGAUAGGUCUGGGUAAUCUUUGAACGCUGUUCGUGAUUGGGAUAGACCUUUGCAAUUAUGGGUCUUCAACGAGGAAUUCCUAGUAAACGCAAGUCAUCAGCUUGCAUUGAUUACGUCCCUGCCCUUUGUACACACCGCCCGUCGCACCUACCGAUUGAGUGAUCCGGUGAAUAAUUCGGACUGCAGCAAUGUUCAGCUUCUGAAUGUUGCAGUGGAAAGUUUAGUGAACCUUAUCACUUAGAGGAAGGAGAAGUCGUAACA